GGAAAAUGAAGUAAAAUGUAAAAUGAAGGAUUUCUAUGAUUGGGUGAUGUAUCUGAAUUUGUUGUUUGUAUGAAGAUCAGAAAUGAAGAGCAUAAAUGUGACCUAAGAACUUAAAUUUACUGUAUGAGAUACUUUAAGAUGAAUAUGGAUGAUUAGUGGUUAAUCCUCAAAGAAUGUGAUAGUAAAAUGUGGCUGAGGUAUUUGACUUCAGGGUAAAGCCCAUUCUUUAUCUAUCCUAUUUAGCUUGCUAAAACACAGGGUCUAUCCCCACAGAAAAAGCCUUAAGCAUUUUCUAACUUUCUUCACAAACUUAAAGGGAUAGUUCACCCAAAAAUGAAAAUUUGAUGUUUAUCUGCUUACCCCCAGAGCAUCCAAGAUGUAGGUGUCUUUGUUUCUUCAGUAGAACACAAAUUAUGAUUUUUAACUCCAAUCGUUGCUGUCUGUCAGUCAAAUAAUGCUACACUCAAAAAAAUUAUUCUUGCCACUAUUUGAAAUUAAGCAAAAAAAUCUAAUAAAACAUAUUUAAAAACUAAUAAAAAUACCUAUUAUUACUCCAAAUUACUUUUAUACAACAUGAAAGAAAUGGAUACAAGACCAACCUGAUCAAAUUACAUAAACUAUACUUAAUUUGUUGCCAUAAGGCGCAAAUGCAAGUGUUGCGCAAGCUCACUGAAGUCUGAGUUCAAAAAACAACAACUGAAGGCACAAUGGCGAUCUACUGCCUGACUCAGCGAAAAGGAGGAUUUGGAUGAAUAGAUGUGGAUGUUUUACAAGAAACCUCAUCAGUGGGACAAUAACUCAAUUAUGAUAUGUGAGUUUUGUGGAAACGUAAAGUGUGUGGAAGAAGCAUCACAGAAGUAUCCAAUAUGUUUAAGUAAUUGAAACAAGAUUAAACUUGGACAUUUUGAGGAGAGAUUCAGUCAACCUGUUCACAGUAAAUUUAAGUAAGUGUUUUUGUUAUUUACAUUUACAUUAGAUUUUUUUUUUGUAAAUUACUAUAGUUUCCGCUACAGUAGGCCUCCAUCUCUUCCUUCUUCCUUUUUUCCUCUCAGAUAAAAGCAGAAUUAAUGCGGAUAACGACUGUGCCACUUCUGUCAACGUUCAUAGCAGCUGGACAGAUACACUGUUGAUCAAAUUAAAGUUUUCAGCAGCAAAGGAGCUUCUGGACAAAAGAUAUCACACACAUUGCAGUUGCAGACAAGGCUAUAAUCAAUCAGUAUCUGACCUCAGAUAGACUGCAACACAACUACCACUUUAAAGGCCCAGAAAGGUAGUAAAGACAUUGUUAAAAUAGUCAAUGUGACUGCAGUGGUUCAACCUUAAUGUUAUGAAGUGACAAGAAAACUAUUUGAGCGCAAAAAAAAAAAAAAAAAAACGACUUUCUUCCCUUUUAUGUCAGUCUCCUACGCAGCUGAGGUUGUACACACAUAAUAUCUUAAUUUGUGUUCUGAAGAUUAAUGAAGGUCUUAGGGGUUUGGAGCAAAAUUAGGAUGAGUAAUUACUGAAAGAAAUUUAAUUUUUGGGUGAACUAACCCUUUAACAGAGAUGUUAGCCCUUGUGCUAUUCCUUGUCCAGGAAGUUAACUUGUGAGUAGGACACUUGGGCUGCUGAAUGUCUAAAUGCUGAAAUGUGACAGAUAACAGAAAACCUGUUAUAUGUAAAGUCAAAUAUAAUCCCUCAAAUUGCUUUUCUUUUUUCCCCAAGUGUCCUGAUUGUUGUUGUUUUUUUGUUGUUUUUUUACACGUUUACAAGGAAUGUAACCAUUUACUGUUAUGUUUCAAGUUUCAGACAAGCAAAAGCACAAACUGACUACCAUACUAUGCAGAGAGAUCCCAAUGUUACCUUGAAUAUAUGAAAAUAAUGCUUGAUGUUGAAAUUUGGUUCCUUGUUGAUCUAUGAACUUUUUGGCACACAGACCUAAAUCUAAAAAGUCAAACAAGGAGCCAUAACCAUUGUGUUAGUUUCGGAGAAAGCAUAAAACUGCUGUAAACAGUUGUCUUAACUUGUGAAAUACUGCAUUAUGUUCUAUUUUUUGUAAGAUUGGAUGUUUCUUAUUAUUCCUGCAGCAAUUGAGACAAUAAAUUUAACAUGUAAUGUAACAUGUGUUUGACCAUUUAUUUAAUAUAAAUAAAUUAAUUUAAGGUAGUUAUAUAAAGCAAGUAAGAAUAAGUUAUAUUAAAAGAGUAAGUUUUAUGUAUUACACAAGCUUAAAUUGCAGUUUAUCAGUUAACAUAACCUUUAUUUAAUUAAUUCAAGUCAACUGAACAUGAUGGGGAAGCUUAAGUAAAAGUUAACUUUUUUACAUUGGAUUUAUGUGAUUAAAAUGGAUGGAAAUUUUGUAUGCAAUUGAAUUACAUAAGUUUUAAUUUUUGGGGUUAAAUAUUUUUUUGAGUGUAGUGGAUGAGAACUUCUACAACAACAGUAAAUAAAACUUGCUUAGACAAGUCCAAAUUAAACCCUGCGGCUCGUGAC